rnacentral:rRNA from 1 species
AUUGAACGCUGGCGGCAGGCCUAACACAUGCAAGUCGAACGGUAACAGGAAGAAGCUUGCUUCUUUGCUGACGAGUGGCGGACGGGUGAGUAAUGUCUGGGAAACUGCCUGAUGGAGGGGGAUAACUACUGGAAACGGUAGCUAAUACCGCAUAACGUCGCAAGACCAAAGAGGGGGACCUUCGGGCCUCUUGCCAUCGGAUGUGCCCAGAUGGGAUUAGCUAGUAGGUGGGGUAACGGCUCACCUAGGCGACGAUCCCUAGCUGGUCUGAGAGGAUGACCGGCCACACGGGAACUGAGACACGGUCCAGACUCCUACGGGAGGCAGCAGUGGGGAAUAUUGCACAAUGGGCGCAAGCCUGAUGCAGCCAUGCCGCGUGUAUGAAGAAGGCCUUCGGGUUGUAAAGUACUUUCAGCGGGGAGGAAGGGAGUAAAGUUAAUACCUUUGCUCAUUGACGUUACCCGCAGAAGAAGCACCGGCUAACUCCG